rnacentral:rRNA from 1 species
UACGGAAGGGGCAAGCGUUGUUCGGAAUCAUUGGGCGUAAAGGGCGCGUAGGUGGUUCUGUAUGUCUACCGUGAAAGCGUACGGCUCAACCGUAUUUUGUCGGUAGAAACUGCAGGACUUGAGGCUGGGAGGGGCUGGUGGAAUUCCCUGUGUAGCGGUGAAAUGCGUAGAGAUGGGGGAGAACACUCGUGGCGAAGGCGGCCAGCUAGACCAGUUCUGACACUGAGGCGCGACAGCGUGGGGAGCAGACAGG